rnacentral:rRNA from 1 species
AAUGACUCUCAGCAACGGAUAUCUUGGCUCUUGCAA